rnacentral:rRNA from 1 species
AACGAACGCUGGCGGCAGGCUUAACACAUGCAAGUCGAGCGCCCCGCAAGGGGCGCGGCAGACGGGUGAGUAACGCGUGGGAACGUACCUUUUGGUUCGGAACAACUCCGGGAAACUGGAGCUAAUACCGGAUAAGCCCUAACGGGGAAAGAUUUAUCGCCGAAAGAUCGGCCCGCGUCUGAUUAGCUAGUUGGUGAGGUAACGGCUCACCAAGGCGACAAUCAGUAGCUGGUCUGAGAGGAUGAUCAGCCACACUGGGACUGAGACACGGCCCAGACUCCUACGGGAGGCAGCAGUGGGGAAUAUUGGACAAUGGGCGCAAGCCUGAUCCAGCCAUGCCGCGUGAGUGAUGAAGGCCUUAGGGUUGUAAAGCUCUUUUGUCCGGGAAGAUAAUGACUGUACCGGAAGAAUAAGCCCCGGCUAACUUCGUG